ACGAACGCUGGCGGCGUGCUUAACACAUGCAAGUCGCACGGUUAAGCGCCUUCCUUUUUGGUGGGUGUGGAUGAGUGGCGAACGGGUGAGUAACACGUGAGUAACCUGCCCCCUUCUUCUGGAUAACCGCAUGAAAGUGUGGCUAAUACGGGAUAUUCUGGGUCUGUCGCAUGAUGGGUCUGGGAAAGAUAUUGUUUCGGUGGGGGAUGGGCUCGCGGCCUAUCAGCUUGUUGGUGGGGUGAUGGCCUACCAAGGCGGUGACGGGUAGCCGGCCUGAGAGGGUGGACGGUCACACGGGGACUGAGACACGGCACAGACUCCGACGGGAGGCAGCAGGGGGGAAUAUUGCACAAUGGGCGCAAGGCUGAUGCAGCGACGCCGCGUGAGGGAUGGAGGCCUUCGGGUUGUGAACCUCUUUCGGCAGUGAAGCAGGACUGCCUCGUUUGUGGGUGGGUUGACGGUAGCUGGAUAAGAAGCGCCGGCUAACUACGUG
rnacentral:rRNA from 1 species